rnacentral:rRNA from 1 species
GACGAACGCUGGCGGCGUGCCUAAUACAUGCAAGUCGAGCGGACUUUCAAGAAGCUUGCUUUUUGAAAGUUAGCGGCGGACGGGUGAGUAACACGUGGGCAACCUGCCUGCAAGACGGGGAUAACUCCGGGAAACCGGGGCUAAUACCGGAUAAUAUCUUCCUUCGCAUGAAGGAAGGUUGAAAGGCGGCGCAAGCUGCCGCUUGCAGAUGGGCCCGCGGCGCAUUAGCUAGUUGGUGAGGUAACGGCUCACCAAGGCGACGAUGCGUAGCCGACCUGAGAGGGUGAUCGGACACACUGGGACUGAGACACGGCCCAGACUCCUACGGGAGGCAGCAGUAGGGAAUCUUCCGCAAUGGACGAAAGUCUGACGGAGCAACGCCGCGUGAGCGAAGAAGGUCUUCGGAUCGUAAAGCUCUGUUGUCAGGGAAGAACAAGUACCGUUCGAACAGGGCGGUACCUUGACGGUACCUGACCAGAAAGCCACGGCUAACUACGUG